GACGAACGCUGGCGGCAUGCCUAACACAUGCAAGUCGAACGGGGAUACGAGAGCUUGCUUUUGUAUCUUAGUGGCGGACGGGCGAGUAACGCGUGAGCAACCUGCCCUUCAGUGGGGAAUAACGUCUGGAAACGGACGCUAAUACCGCAUAACACAACGAAGCCGCAUGACUUUGUUGUCAAAGGAUUUAUUCGCUGAAGGAUGGGCUCGCGUCCGAUUAGCUAGAUGGUGGGGUAAAGGCUCACCAUGGCGACGAUCGGUAGCCGAACUGAGAGGUUGAUCGGCCGCAUUGGGACUGAGACACGGCCCAG
rnacentral:rRNA from 1 species